UACGGAGGGUGCAAGCGUUAUCCGGAAUCACUGGGUUUAAAGGGUGCGUAGGCGGCGUAAUAAGUCAGAGGUGAAAGCUCACCGCUUAACGGUGGAACUGCCUUUGAUACUGUUAUGCUAGAAUUUGGUUGAGGUUAGCGGAAUGAGUCAUGUAGCGGUGAAAUGCAUAGAUAUGACUUAGAACACCAAUUGCGAAGGCAGCUGGCUAGACCAACAUUGACGCUGAGGCACGAAAGCGUGGGGAGCGAACAGG
rnacentral:rRNA from 1 species